rnacentral:rRNA from 1 species
UACGAAGGGGGGCUAGCGUUGCUCGGAAUCACUGGGCGUAAAGCGCACGUAGGCGGAUUGCUAAGUCAGGGGUGAAAUCCCGGAGCUCAACUCCGGAACUGCCUUUGAUACUGGCGAUCUUGAGUCCGGGAGAGGUGAGUGGAACUGCGAGUGUAGAGGUGAAAUUCGUAGAUAUUCGCAAGAACACCAGUGGCGAAGGCGGCUCACUGCCCGGUACUGACGCUGAGGUGCGAAAGCGUGGGGAGCAAACAGG